AAAAAAAAAAAAACCAUUCAAGUGAUACCUUGAAAGAAGCAUCCUACGGUUGUGUUGUGCAUGUAAAUGGUGGUGUUUCAUGGUUGAUCUGGAGCCCAUUUUUUAAUCCAGAGUCAAAUAACUGAUCCUUAAAUUUUCUAUCAAAGGCCUCAAUUAUACAUGUUCCCUUGCACUUGUCUUAUAGCUUAAAUUUUUAAUUCAUCUUGUUUUUCAUUAUUGAGUUGCUCUGUACCUAUAGCUAGCAUACCAUCCAUAAAAGAGAUUAUUCAAAUGAUAUACACAUGGUCCUCUAAUAAUGGUUAAAGCUUUAAGAAAAGUGGUUCAAUGAUAUCAGAGAAAGCAAAGUUUCAUGGGAUCAAGUCUUGUCGUUUACUGAUAUUGCGCAUGUGUUGGGCUAUGGUGGGGAAAAUGACCCUGUCUAUACGUUUGGGAGCAUAUUCAUGACAAUAUUUAAGUGAUAUACAUGUGGCCCUCUCUAACUUCUUAAGGUUUCUGGUCGGGUAGUUAUACACCAUCUACAUUUUUCAAUAAUUUUACAUUCUCUACUUUACAAUCAUUUCUCUAUAGCUUCAGAAAUUUCAAUUGGUUUCUUUUCAUGUAGGAAAAUAUUGUGGCUAAAUAUUUCUCAAGAUCUAAUGGAAAUUUUCAAUCUACAGAAUCAAAUUCCACCGCUGGUGUCUAUUAUGUUCUUUUAUUUUAAUUUCAUUUCUUUCUUUUCUACCUAUAUACAUCUUCUCAAGUUCAAAUCUCAGUUGCAAUAACAUUUACCAUUCAAUUUCUGCUAAACUCUGUAACCAAAGGCAUCAAUUUUAUUCUAUCCAACUUUAGUAAAGAUUUCAAAAUACAAAGGUCUGUUCCAAUAUUCCUUUUAUUUCUAGUGACUGCUUUCAGAUUAGAUGAUAUUUGUAUUCUUCUCAAAGCAUUGACUAUAAGCUCAACCAGUUCCCACUUUAGAGCAUCUGUUCUCCCUUUCUUUUUGCCUAAUCCCUAUUAGAUUUAACAUAAAUCAAGGCUACCAUGCUCAGACCCUUGAGACAUGGCCAAAAAGACUAACUCCAGUACAUAUAAACAAAGGUAUUCUGGAAAUUCAAAUUUUUAUCGAAACAUAGGAUAUAGGUUUCAAUACUAAUGCUUAGAAAAAGAUCCAAAAAAUUAAGCUAUUAUAGAUUGAUAAUGAAAGAUUGACAGGAUUAAGGCUAUGGAUGAUAUUUCUAAUUGCAUGCUUGCAUAUUUGGCUACCAAUAUUAUAACUACUGACUAUUUGAUUUCGAAGAAUCUCAACUAUCAUCUCAGCACCGACAGCAACAUGAAUUCACUUCCUACUUUGCACUCCCUUCUAUAC
rnacentral:lncRNA from 1 species